CCUGGUUGCUCGCCUGUUGCCUUUAGAUUUGGAUGGCUGGAUUUUCCCCUGCAAAGACAUGAAAGCCGGGUCAUUUGGUGCUUGCCCUGUUUGAGCGGUGAUUCCCCAGAUAGCUAUGCCAUGGAGCCCAUUCGUAUAAUGAAAGACUAUGGGAAAGACUUUGGCUCCAUGGCAAUUGAACUUUAUGUGUGUGCUCUGAACGCCAUUCAGUAAUAAUGUGCGCUC